AAAAUACCAGCAAAGAAAGGGGUUUUGAAGAUUUGAACUUUCAGCAAAGAAAAUCCCUUGAAAGUAAGUGAUUUUAAUGCUUUUUAUUGAAGAUUUUUACAUUUUUGGAACCCCUAAAGCAUGAGCUUUCAUAAGAGGGGACUAUUUUGCAAAAUGAUUAAGAGUCUAGGGUUUUUCCAUGAAAGCAUAUGUGUUGUUUUCUGAGUUUUUAUGGAAGAAAAUGAGUCUUGGUAGUGUUAUAAACACUUUUUGUGAAGGAAGAUUGCAUAAAAACUCCUAAAAAGGGGAUAUUUUGUAAAGUAGUAUAAUAAGUGUAAGUGUGUGAAAUAGUUGAUAUUGGGAGUUGCUAUAGUUAUGAAAACGGUUCAUCUAGUCUUAAAGAGUAAAGGAAUUGAAUAAAAAUCAUUUUUCGAGCCUAGGGGUAAUUUGGUUAGUACAUUGUUUUAAUUAGCUAAAUGUGAUGUUUUAGAUGUUGAAAAAUGCAAUUUGGACCUAGAACGGGGAAAAUCAAUUUAUGGACGAUUACAUCUUUUUCACCUUUGUGGUAUCGAGGUAAGUUCGUAUGUAAAUAAUGUCAUGCUAUACAUGUAUUUAAGUGUUAUCAUCACAUGAAUUGUACGAAUAUUAAUGUGUAUGUGAUUAAUAUAAAUAUGAUGAAACAAAGCCUUGAUAAGCGAGGAAAAAUCCCGUUUGUACCUUAGGAAUAAAAUAGGAUACGAGUGACAUAUCACUAGGAAUUAUGAGUCUAGAUGACUAGCUCAAGAGUGAGCAUUUAAAUGUCAUGAGAUAUGAGGUAGCUUUAGUUACAAUUGAGGCACUUAUGUGCAAAGGUUUUUCCGAGUAUCCAAUUAGUAUUCCAAGUGUUCAAUAGGUAAUCCGAGGAAAGAGUUGAUGAUGGUCCCAAUGAGGUAUGUCAUUGGUGAGUAUGCACUUGAGUUAUGUUACGCGUUGUGCAGGUAUGUACGAUAAGCCUAUGAGAAUGCCUUGGUAUGUGAUGAUCUAUGAUGCAUAAAUAUGUGUGUAACACCCCGCACCCGAGACCGUUGCCGGAGUCGAACACGAGGUGCUAACAGACAUAAUUCAUUUAUUUUCACAGUCCAUUUUAAAAAUUUCCAGACAAGCUGGCUAACUGCGUCACUGUCACCUUAAAAAUCAUAUCUCAAGUUCCGAAGCUCUAAAACUGAUUCCGUAAAUUUUCCCUGAAACUAGACUCAUAUAUCCAUCUACAAAUUUUUUUUCUAGAAUUUUUGAUCGGACCAAUUAGUACAGUUUAUUAGUUAAAAUCUCCCCUGUUUCAGGGUUCGACUGCUCUGACCUUCAUUCGUUACGACUUAUAUAUCUUCCUGUACAGGGCUUCAUUACUUAUGCCACUUGUUUCUAAAGAAACUAGACUCAAAAAGAAAUCUGUACAUAUAGGGCAUGACUUCUAAUUAUCUCUGGUUAAUUUAUAGUGAAUUUCCAAAGUCGGAAUAGGGGAUCCAGAAAUCGCUCUGGCCCUGUUCCACGAAAACUUAAAUAUCUCUUAAAAUAAGACUCAUAUGAUCGUUUCGUUUCUUCCAUAUGAAAGUAGAUUCAUCAAGGUUCGAUUAUAUAAUUUAUUCACUAUUUAAUUCCAUUCCUAAUAUUUUUAGUGAUUUUUCAAAUCCACACCACUGCUACUGUCAGCAUCUGUUUUUUUUAGGUAAACUUUACCCAUUUCAUGGUUUUCCAUGAAUCAACUAGAAUUUGUCAUACAAAGCACCAAAAUGAUCAUGAUUAACCAUUCCAAUGGCUAAUCGUUACCAAACAUUUCCAUACCUCUCAAUGAACAACAUACAAAACGAUUUUAAUGCUAUGCUCAAAGUGUAUAUAAGCCAAAUUUAUACAAAACCAAAGGGUACAUGACCAACAACAAAAAGGGUAGUCCUAUACAUGCCAUUUUCAGAGUUCAACCAAAAGUGUACCAAAAGGGCUUUGAUAGUGUGGACGACUUCGACUUCGACAAUCCCGAGUCCGAUAGCUGACGAACCAAAAUCUAUAAAACAGAGAAUCAAAGAAACAGAGUAAGCAUUUAAUGCUUAGUAAGUUUUGAGCAAUGAAAUUAGGCACAAUUGAAGUAUAGCAUUCAUAUGACAUACGGAUAAUUUCAUAUACACACAUUCCCAAAAUCAUACCUACUUCACAUUACCAACCCUUAUACUCAUACAUAAAAGAUCAACUUAACCAAAAGUCGGAAGCUCAUUAAACGACUGAGCGAAAUACUAUUUAGAAGGGAUCAACAAUCCAAUGCAUAUACGAAACGUACCUCAUCGUUGGGAUUUUACGAGCAUAUUAAUUGAAAUUAUUACAGCAAGAUCACUCAUUCCCAAACCAAGUACCUUCGGGAUUUAACCGGAUAUAGAUACUCGCUCAAAUGUCUUCGGGACUAGCCCGGUUAUAGUAACUCGCAAAAAUGCCUUCGGGACUUAGCCCGGUUAUAGUAACUCGUACAAAUGCCUUCAGGACUUAGCCCGGAUAUAGUAACUCGCACAAAUGCCUUCGGGACUUAGCCCGGUUAUAGUAACUCGUACAAAUGCCUUCGGGACUUAGCCCGGAUAUAGUAACUCGCACAAAUGCCUUCGGGACUUAGCCCGGAUAUAGUAACUCGCACAAAUGCCUUCGGGCUUAGCCCGGAAUUAGUCACUAGCACAAAUGCCUUCGGGACUUAGCCCGGUUAUCAUCCGAAUAUCCAUGCACAUAUCAACAAAUCAUGACACAUCUAUAUUUCAUUUUCAUAACUAGAAUUCAAACACAAGUCACUUAUCAAGCAUUAUCAUUUUCGGCUCAAUAGCUACAUACAAGGAGCAUGAUUUUGAUUUACUUAAAACAUGAUCUAAUCGAAUCAUAAUCUAAGAUCCAUUACUCAAAAACUUACCUCAGAUGUUGUCGAACGAUUUCGGCGACUAUUCGAUCACUUUUUCCUUUCCCUUAUCCAACUUUGGUCCUCUAAGCUCUUGAGCUAAUUCAAAUAAAUUUAACUUAUUAAAGUCUCAUUAUGCUAGCUUAUGGCCGAAUAUGACAAGGAGUUUGAUAGGUCAUAUGGCCACCUUUAGCUCAAAUACAAAAUGGUCAUACGCAUUUUUAAUCACAUUGAGCAAUUUAAUACAAUUAAUCUAACAUUUCCUCAUGUGCACCUUUAUGACCGAAUACACACAUCAUUAACCUAAUAUCAAUUAACUAAGCACUUUAACAAAUUCUCCUUGAGUCGAUUAUCUAAGUCAAGAUAGAUUCAUCAUUAUGCUUGCCUAUAACCGAAUACAUGCAACACCAAUCUAUCUAUUCAUUCAUGUGUGCAUCUUAUUUAAGCAUGUAUAUCUACAACCGAAUUCAUCAUAUAAAUAUCUAUGAAUUCACUCAAACAAUCUCAAUACCACACAUGGUGCUCAAACCAUUUUUCAAAUUCAAAACUCGGCUAGUACACAUAUAUACACUAGCAAUCAAACACUAACAUUUGCACUUCACCUUACUACCAUUUAUCUCUUCUAUUUACUACCAUGGCCGAAUGCUAUAACCCAAGCCUCACAAAUUGUUUCCCCAAGGCCCUUCAAUGACCACAUCCGGCACCCCUUAGGAACAACCCAAUUUCAACCUUCAAGACGGAAGAAAAAUAUAUGUACUAAGAGCUUCAAACUACUUGGCCGAAUAUCAAACCUCCAAUCAAUCAAAAUUUAAUCCAUGAAAUGAAUAGAACUUGAACUAACCACCUUCUUUAUACAUAAAUUUCCAAGAAUUUCAAGAUACUUACCUCUUCCUAAUCCUCAUCCAAACCGAACAUGAAGCAAGAGAACUCCUUUCUUCUUCCUUUGAUUUUUCUGUCAAGAAGAACAAAGAGGAUGAAGCCUUUUUCCUUUUUUUUUUCUUCUAGGUACGGCAAAAAGGGGGGGAGCAAGGAUGAAACAACUUUGGUUUCUCCUCCCACUCCCCUCAUAUUUUAUUGUUCUCCCCACAACAUGUUAUCACAAAUUUUUUAUAUUAUGUUUUACCCAUCACAUUUUUUCUAUCCUCAAUGUCAUGGCCGGCCACUACUAAUUAAGUGGGGGAAUUGACAUGCAAGUCCACCCUUUUGAUUUCAUGCACUAAUUGAUCCUUAUAGAUUAACCUAUCACAUUUCAAAAGUGUCACACAUAAGUCCUAUUAACUAAAUUCACAUGCAAUUAACUAAAUCGAAGCUUAAAACUUUCACACAUUCAUAUUCAUAUAUUUUAGACAAUAAUUAUCAUAUUCAAAUAAUUUGGUGACUCGGUUUAGCGGUCCAGAAACUGCUUUCCGACUAGGGUCACUUUAGGGCUGUCACAAUGUGUUCUUACCAUGAUGGAUGAAAUGAUGUUGUAUUAAAUUUGUGAACAAUAAUCAUGAAUGAGUAACUUAGCCUUGACAGGUUUGAGUUACUGCAGUAGUGUAACUUUGAAAAUACACUAAAAAUAGUGUAAAAUGAGUUAGAAGCUGAAUAAAAUAUGGAAAUAAAUAUUAUUGAGUCUAGUUUCUUAUAAAAGAAACCAUGUAAGCAAAAUAAUUUCCUAUAAUGAGAUAUUUAAAGUUGCGUGGGACAAAGUCAGAAUGACUUCGAAAUCCUCUAUUUUGAUUUGAUAAAAUCAUUAUAAAUUUAAAAAAAUGGUUAUGAGUUAUGAUUUAUAUUCUUGGAAUCCUUAAUGAGUAUAGUUUAAAUAGAAAUAGACGAGAACAUUAUUCGAGUCCUGUGCUAUGAGAUAAUUGAACUUUAGUGCAGAAGGAUCUGAACUGUCAGACAGUGAAUUAUGGGUAAAUUUGAGGAAUAAAAUGUACUAAUUUUCUAAACCAAAAAUUCUAGAAAUUUUAUGAUUUAAAGGUACAUGAGUCUAGUCUCAAGGAAAAUUAACGAAACUUAAUUUGGAGUUUCGUAGCUCCAGAUAUAAAUAAUUUAGUGACUGUUGCUCAGGAAGACAGCUUGUUGUGAACUUGAGAAUAUGUUGUAAACAUUGAUAAAACAUGUUAAUGAAUUGCUUAUUUUUUUUCAUAUGAACUUACUAAGCAUAAAUCUUACCCCUCUUUCUUUCCCAUGUUUCCUAGGGUUGCCAUGGUAGCUUGGGUUGGAGGCUGCCAGAGAUAUUAUCACACUGUCGAGUUAACGCUAUCGGCGUACGUAAAUCCUAGUGUUUUGAGUAUAUGAGAUGUAUAGAGUUUUAAUGUUGAGUAUGUGAUGUUAUGAUUUAGCCAAAGGCAUUGGCUUGUUAUAAAGGUAGUAUGUAGUAAUGUAAAUUGGCCUAUGUCGGCUAAUGACGUUAUGGGUCUAUAUGAUUAUUCUUAUGCAUGUAUGUUAUUAUCUCUUGUGAUGUGGCUUACAGCAUGUAUGCCUAGAGAUUAAAUUGAGAUUCAUUAAUGAGUUAGUAACUGAUGCAAGAUUAAGUGAUUGGUAAAUAGUUAAUAAUGCCUCAUGAAUGGUUUGUGGAUAUGAUUAUGCAUGCCUAGUGA
rnacentral:lncRNA from 1 species